GGUAUCUAUCUGCCUGGGAAGAGAUUGUCAUGUUGCUGAAGAAUAGCAAGCAGAAAUUCAGUUCUCACAUUCUGAAUUAGAAUAUGAGCCAAGCUAUCAAUCUUCAGAGGUUUUGUUGAAAACCUGUUGGAGAAGUGUUAGUUCCUUGGGUCAGCUCCUUCAAGUUUGCAUCGGGAUGCCUGCUUUCACCCACCCCAGUGAGACUUGCUCACUCUUAUCUUCCAGGUGUCCCAGGGCAUCUAUCUGCCUGGAAAGAGACUGAGAUGUCGCUGAAGGAUAACAAGCAGAUGUUCAAUUCUAACGUUCCAAAUUAGAAUAUUGGCGUGGUCAGCAGGAUCUGAAGCAGAACUCCAGUGAUUCCCAGGGGGACCGGC